GACGAACGCUGGCGGCGUGCUUAACACAUGCAAGUCGAACGGAAAGGCCCUGCUUUUGUGGGGUGCUCGAGUGGCGAACGGGUGAGUAACACGUGAGUAACCUGCCCUUGACUUUGGGAUAACUUCAGGAAACUGGGGCUAAUACCGGAUAGGAGCUCCUGCUGCAUGGUGGGGGUUGGAAAGUUUCGGCGGUUGGGGAUGGACUCGCGGCUUAUCAGCUUGUUGGUGGGGUAGUGGCUUACCAAGGCUUUGACGGGUAGCCUGCCUGAGAGGGUGACCGGCCACAUUGGUACUGAGAUACGGCCCAGACUCCUACGGGAGGCAGCAGUGGGAAAUAUUGCACAAUGGGCGGAAGCCUGAUGCAGCAGCGCCGCGUGCGUGAUGACGGCCUUCGGGUUGUAAACCGCUUUCGCCUGUGACGAAGCGUGAGUGACGGUAAUGGGUAAAGAAGCACCGGCUAACUACGUG
rnacentral:rRNA from 1 species